CUGUGCAAAGGUAGCAUAAUCAUUAGUUUUUUAAUUGAAAGCUGGAAUGAAUGGUUUAAUAAGAAAAAUUCUGUCUCAUUUUUAAUUUUAAAAUUUUAUUUUUAAGUUAAAAAGCUUAAAUAAAUUAAAAAGACGAGAAGACCCUUUAGAGUUUUAUAAAAAAAUAAUUAAUUAUUAUUAAGAUUUAAAUUUAAAAUUGGUUUUUAUUAUUUUAUUGGGGUGAUAUAAAAAUUUAAAUAACUUUUUAUUUAUUUAAUCAUUAAUUUAUGUGUGAAUGAUCUUGAUUUUUGGAUUAUAAGAAUAAUUACCUUAGGGAUAACAGCGUAAUUUUUUUUGAGAGUUCUUAUCGAAAAAGAAGUUUGCGACCUCGAUGUUGGAUUAAAAUUUAAUUUUGGCGUAGAAGUUAAAAAUUUAGGUCUGUUCGACCUUUAAAAUU
rnacentral:rRNA from 1 species